AGAGUUUGAUCCUGGCUCAGAGUGAACGCUGGCGGCAGGCCUAAUACAUGCAAGUCGAACGGCAGCACAGCAGAGCUUGCUCUGUGGGUGGCGAGUGGCGGACGGGUGAGGAAUACGUGGGAAUCUGCCCAGUCGUGGGGGAUAACGUAGGGAAACUUACGCUAAUACCGCAUGCGCCCUUCGGGGGAAAGCCGGGGACCUUCGGGCCUGGCGCGAUUGGAUGAGCCCACGUCGGAUUAGCUAGUUGGCGGGUAAAGGCCCACCAAGGCGACGAUCCGUAGCUGGUCUGAGAGGAUGAUCAGCCACACUGGAACUGAGACACGGUCCAGACUCCUACGGGAGGCAGCAGUAGGGAAUAUUGGACAAUGGGCGCAAGCCUGAUCCAGCCAUGCCGCGUGAGUGAAGAAGGCCCUCGGGUUGUAAAGCUCUUUUGUCCGGAAAGAAAAGCGCCGGGUUAAUACCCUGGUGUCCUGACGGUACCGGAAGAAUAAGCACCGGCUAACUUCGUG
rnacentral:rRNA from 1 species